rnacentral:rRNA from 1 species
CACGUAGGCUGUGCCGUAAGUGCGGGGUGAAAUCCCACGGCUUACCCGUGGAACGGCCCUGCAGACUGCGGUGCUAGAGGAUGGUAGGGGAGAGCAGAACUCCUGGUGGAGCGGUGAAAUGCGUAGAGAUCAGGAGGAACACCGGUGGCGAAGGCGGCUCUCUGGUCCAUUUCUGACGCUGAGGUGCGAAAGCUAGGGAGCAAACG